AACUUUCAACAACGGAUCUCUUGGUUCUGGCAUCGAUGAAGAACGCAGCAAAAUGCGAUAAGUAGUGUGAAUUGCAGAAUUCAGUGAAUCAUCGAAUCUUUGAACGCACAUUGCGCCCCUUGGUAUUCCAUGGGGCAUGCCUGUUCGAGCGUCAUUGACACCCCUCAAGCUCUGCUUGGUGUUGGGGCCGUUGUCGUUUCCUCGCCCCCCAGCGACACAGCGACACCCCUCAAAGUCAUUGGCGGCCUUUCUGCCCAGCUUCCCGCGCAGCAGUUCGCGCUUCGGAGACUACUUUGGCAGGCUGGCAUCCAUCAAGCUGACCCUUCAUGCUUGACCUCGGAUCAGGUAGGGAUACCCGCUGAACUUAAGCAUAUCAAUAAGCGGAGGAAAAGAAACCAACUGGGAUUGCCCUAGUAACGGCGAGUGAAGCGGCAACAGCUCAAAUUUGAAAUCUGGCCCCUUUGGGGUCCGAGUUGUAAUUUGCAGAGGGUGCUUUGGCGUUGGCGGCGGUCUAAGUUCCUUGGAACAGGACAUCGCAGAGGGUGAGAAUCCCGUAUGUGGUCGCAUGCCUUCGCCGUGUAAAGCCCCUUCGACGAGUCGAGUUGUUUGGGAAUGCAGCUCUAAAUGGGAGGUAAAUUUCUUCUAAAGCUAAAUACUGGCCAGAGACCGAUAGCGCACAAGUAGAGUGAUCGAAAGAUGAAAAGCACUUUGGAAAGAGAGUCAAACAGCACGUGAAAUUGUUGAAAGGGAAGCGCUUGCAGCCAGACUUGCUCGCAGUUGCUCAUCCGGGCCCUUGCCCGGUGCACUCUUCUGCGGGCAGGCCAGCAUCAGUUCGGGCGGCUGGAUAAAGGCCUCUGUCAUGUAUCUUCCUUCGGGAUGACCUUAUAGGGGAGGCGUAAUGCAGUCAGCCCGGACUGAGGUCCGCGCAUCUGCUAGGAUGCUGGCGUAAUGGCUGUAAGCGGCCCGUCUUGAAACACGGACCAAGGAGUCUAACAUCUAUGCGAGUGUUUGGGUAUCAAACCCGAGCGCGCAAUGAAAGUGAACGGAGGUGGGAACCCUCGGGUGCACCAUCGACCGAUCUUGAUGUCUUCGGAUGGAUUUGAGUAAGAGCAUAGCUGUUGGGACCCGAAAGAUGGUGAACUAUGCUUGAAUAGGGUGAAGCCAGAGGAAACUCUGGUGGAGGCUCGCAGCGGUUCUGACGUGCAAAUCGAUCGUCAAAUUUGGGCAUAGGGGCGAAAGACUAAUCGAACCAUCUAGUAGCUGGUUCCUGC
rnacentral:misc_RNA from 1 species